UAUGUGAUCGUCUCUCGCAUAUCAAUAAGCGGAGGAAAAGAAACUAACAAGGAUUCCCCUAGUAACGGCGAGUGAAGCGGGAAGAGCUCAAAUUUGAAAUCUUAAAGGGCUUCCCUUUACGAAUUGUAGUUUAAAGAAGUGUUUUCUGUUGAGGUUUUGGUAAAAGUUCUUUGGAAUAGGACAUCAUAGAAGGUGAGAAUCCCGUAUUUGACCUUUACUUUCAACUUUGUGAUACACUUUCAAAGAGUCGGAUUGUUUGGGAAUGCAGUCCAAAAUGGGUGGUAAAUUUCAUCUAAAGCUAAAUAUUGGCGAGAGACCGAUAGCGAACAAGUACCGUGAGGGAAAGAUGAAAAGAACUUUGAAAAGAGAGUUAAACAGUACGUGAAAUUGUCAAAAGGGAAGCGUUUGACACCAGUGUUGUUUUUCUGAAAAUCAAUUAAAGAACUGUUUAUGCUAAGGGCUGUUUAGACUUUAUCAGCUAUCUGUUUAGUUUUGAGCUUUUCUUUAAUGCACUUUUCAGUUAACAAGUCAACAUCAAUUUCUUUUGCUGUAAAAAAGCUUGAGGAAGGUGGCUUGAGAUUCGUCUUAAGUGUUUAUAGCCUCUUGCCUAUGCAGUCGGAGAGAUUGAGGUCUGCAGCGUAGAUCCUUCGGGGCUAAAUGCAUUUGUGCUAAGUUAUAACAUUUUAUAGACAACUUGUUGACUAUGAUUUGUCUUGUAGCUUACUCGCUUAUGUUAUUUUACCUACGCUUAGGAUGUUGACACACGCGCGUGCUCG
rnacentral:rRNA from 1 species